rnacentral:tRNA from 1 species
CAGAAAAUAGUUUAAAUAAAAACACUAUACUGAUAAUAUAACAAUGUAAAAAGACAAUACUUUUCUAA